CCAGAGGCUGCGGUUACGACACAUCCUGGCGUCUUUCACGCUGCUCCGUGUGGUGACAGGGCAAAAGGAUCAUUGAGCAGCAGCACUGCACCAGCAAACCUGCCAGAGACCACUGCUGCUUUGCCUUUGGCUAAAUUCACCCUGUCUGGGUCUGCUUUGCCUUUGGCUGUGUUUACCCUGUUUCGGUUUGCUUUGUUUUGGCCUCCCCAGAUUGCUCAUUUUUGUGUUUUUCGCUGUGGGCCUCCCAACUGGGUAAAGACAUAUUUUAACUGCGUAUGAGACAGGCCGUACUUAUUAUUUGUUUGGAUCCUUUGUUUUCCUUAUUUUGUGAUUUCGGUAAGCUUUGGUUAAGCAGUUUGGUGUUUUAUUAGUAUGGUUUUUGUUUAAAUUUAAUUUUCUCUUUCUGUAUUAGUUUUGGUUUAAUUUCUUUUAUUUUAAAGCUGUUGCUAUCAUCUCCGCCCCUAUUCAGGUGCUGAGUCUGCGGUGGUGGAUUGGUGUCCCAGGUGGCUCUUUUGUUGUGUUUUUGCAUGUUUGGGUUUGCUUCAUUUUUAGUUUUACGUGUGGUGCUCCUUGGGUCCCCUUUUUUUUGGGCAAUCCAUUGUUGUAAGUCUCAGCCCUGAUUGGUUCCCCCGUUGCUCGUCCCAGAGUGAGUGAGGUUUUUAAACAGUGAAUUGAAUUUAAUAAAAUUGCAUUUUGUAUUUUAAA